rnacentral:rRNA from 1 species
CAGCCGUAAACUAUGCUCGCUAGGUGUCAGGCAUGGCGCGACCGUGUCUGGUGCCGCAGGGAAGCCGUGAAGCGGGCCACCUGGGAAGUACGGCCGCAAGGCUGAAACUUAAAGGAAUUGGCGGGGGAGCACAACAACGGGUGGAGCCUGCGGUUUAAUUGGACUCAACGCCGGACAACUCACCGGGGACGGACAGCAAUAUGUAGGCCAGGCUGAAGACCUUGCCUGAAUCGCUGAGAGGAGGUGCAUGGCGUAGACGUCU